rnacentral:rRNA from 1 species
AGAGUUUGAUCCUGGCUCAGAUUGAACGCUGGCGGCAGGCCUAACACAUGCAAGUCGAGCGGUAACAGGGGAAGCUUGCUUCUCGCUGACGAGCGGCGGACGGGUGAGUAAUGUAUGGGGAUCUGCCCGAUAGAGGGGGAUAACUACUGGAAACGGUGGCUAAUACCGCAUAAUCUCUCAGGAGCAAAGCAGGGGAACUUCGGUCCUUGCGCUAUCGGAUGAACCCAUAUGGGAUUAGCUAGUAGGUAAGGUAACGGCUUACCUAGGCGACGAUCCCUAGCUGGUCUGAGAGGAUGACCAGCCACACUGGAACUGAGACACGGUCCAGACUCCUACGGGAGGCAGCAGUGGGGAAUAUUGCACAAUGGGCGCAAGCCUGAUGCAGCCAUGCCGCGUGUAUGAAGAAGGCCUUCGGGUUGUAAAGUACUUUCAGCGGGGAGGAAGGGAGUGAGGUUAAUAACCUUGUCGAUUGACGUUACUCGCAGAAGAAGCACCGGCUAACUCCGUGCCAGCCGCCGCGGUAAUAC